ensembl:lncRNA
AUAUUUCUCCAUUUUGAAAUUUUAUGUGAAUAACAUGAGAGACUAGACUAACUCCUAACUGUUUGUUUAAAAAAAAAAAAACACUAACAUUAAUAGAACCAUUAAAAGUUUAACAUCCUUCCUUUUAUAGAAAUAUUUUUCAAUUAUAUAUUUCUGUUACAGAUUGACUGGAAAUAGGGAAUACAUCUCUUCAAUGUAUGAAUCAUGACAUGUAACUACUGCUGCUGAUAGUUUUAGCUAGAUGGGUGCUUUUACCAUAGGCUUUCUCAUGGCUUCUUAAGUACCUGACUCCAAGCCUCUUGAUUAAGUGUUUAUGACUAUCUUAUGCAACAGAUAAGUAGCCAUCAAGAAAAUUACUAUAGCAAACAUACUGACUUAUAAGAGCCUAAAUAAAAUUAAAAGGUACACAAACUUUGAAAAUUAACUACCUAAACUAAUAUUUCUAAAAAUUACUCUUCAUUUAGAGAAUUGAAUGCAAUUUCUUUUUUUCUUUCUCUUUCUUAACAUAGAAUAUUCUCUGGACAAAAUCAAGGCCACUAUUGAUAAGGGGGAACAGGAUAAAUAUAAGAUUAAACAGGAAAAAGAUAAUAUUGCACUGGAAAAAGGCAAGUCAAUUUUUUUUCACCUGUUCUUGUUUUAUCUGUUACUUGCACCUUAAAAAAAAACUUGUCAUUUUAUAUUAUCUAAAUUUUAUCUUUUCUCAUCCUUUCCUUUUACUGACAGCUAUCUUCCCCUAAAACACUGGCUUCUUUUCAAUUGCUUUUCUCUUCCUUUUUUCUUUUUCUCAGGUAAGAUUAUACUGAUGUAAGGUGAGUAGGGAGGAAAGAAAGUGACCCGAGCAAUCAGGCAAAGAAAAGGGAAAUUUAUUAGAGGGAAACAAGAUGGUGACUGACCCUUAAGGAGAACCAGCAUCUUCCCUUUUAGAUGUGGUAUUUCUUAUAACACGACAAUGAAAAAUUCUCUGAAGAGAUGGUUAAUUAUUAGCCUGUAGCUGAGUCCUGCAGGCAUGUAGCCAGAGGUCUGGAAUCUGGUGGUCUCAUAGCCUUGAGAAUGUCGACACCAGUGGGAAAACAGAAUAUCGUUUGGGCAACUUGGUCAGUCUCAAGGGUCACUGUGACUUUAUUCUUUGUUUGCAAGGUCAAUAUAAUGAGCCAUUUCUGCCAGGAGACCCCAUGGAGGCCCUCUCACUCCAGCCUUUUUGAUUUUGGAUAAGGGCCAAAGUCAGUCUUCUGUAACUGCUUCCUGUGGGACAGGGACAUUGUAGGGGUAAGAUGAGAAAAGGUUGGAAUAUGGGUCAAGGGGAUUUGUGUGAGGCCAAAGGUUUUGAUAAUCUGAACGAUUUAGAAAUAGCUUAUGGAUAGUUUGGUUGGUGAAGGCUUGUGAGUGGUCCUGAAGAAAUUUUGGAAAAAAAAAAAAAAGACUCAUUAAACAUGGGCAGAAACUUAGAAUAAGGGUAAGUAGAAGGAGAGGGCCUAGAAAAGGUAGAACCCAGGGCAUCCAGGUCCAACUGUUUAGCCAGUUUUCCCAUGAAUUGCUGAGGUGUCAACAUAUUUCAAGGCCCUGUUUGUCAGAUUUCUUGCUGCUUCCUGAUUUGUUGGUGGAGAAGUAGCAAGCUUCCUCCAAAAGUAGACAUAGGCCCCUUUUUUCUGCAGUUAGAAGAUCUAAUCUCCUUCUAUUUCAGAGGAUCACGGCAGCCAAGGAAGCUAGCUGGUUUUGGAUAAUGAUAAGGCUAGUAGCUAUUUAGUCUAGGCUCUCAGUGAGGUCUUUAGAAAGGCUUUGGUGGUAAUUUAAAGAGGUUGUGAGUCCUUCAGUCCCUGUUCCAACCCCAGUUUCUAUUCCUAAACUGAUUAACAGGGGAAAUAAUUAAGUGGGAUAGGGAGGGUCUGAUAUUUAGGAGCAAUAGGAAGAUCCAGGGCUAGAUGUACCAGGGUGCAUGUUCCUGUCCAAUUAGUGGGAAAACAAAUAGGUGGUGGCUCCAAAUAAGAAAAAUAUUCCAAGUGUAAGAAGACAACAGCUGAAAUUAAUAGCAAAUAGGAGUCUUUCUGGGAACUUGUUAGUAGUUUCUGAGACUGACAGUGAACUUGCCAGUGUAGCCCCUACAAAAGGAGUAUUUACGCCAUAUGUAAAAGGGAAUCUCCCUGAGAAAGCAAAAGAAUGUCCUGAAGUUCCUGAUAUGUUGUAGAUGGAUAGGCCUGAAGGAAAGGAGAGAUGUGAAGUGUAAUUACAGUGGUGCGGUGGCAUAGUUCCUAGUUGGGGGUAAGAAUUGUUUACAGAGUUUUGUCUAGAAAAACAGAAAGGAGUCUGUUGUUGUAGAUGAAUGUCAGAGGUUGGGG